rnacentral:rRNA from 1 species
GACAGAGGUCCCGAGCGUUAGGCGGAAUCACUGGGCUUAAAGAGCGUGUAGGCGGCUCGCUAAGUCUUGCGUGAAAUCUCGGGGCUCAACCCCGAGCGGUCGUGAGAAACUGGCGGGCUAGAGUGCGGGAGAGGAGAGUGGAAUUCCUGGUGUAGCGGUGAAAUGCGCAGAUAUCAGGAAGAACACCCGUGGCGAAGGCGGCUCUCUGGAACGCAACUGACGCUGAGACGCGAAAGCGUGGGGAGCAAACAGG